ACAGUAACAGAAGAAAGAGUGGGUAUGAUGUGGAAGACAUGAUAAAAAAUCAUUUACCGAGAUAAUGAGAAGAAGUAUCAGCUCCAUGGAUGGAUCAGGCUCAAUGCUGGGAACUGCACUGCAGAAAAAGUUUUUCCUCUUUGAGUGGCACCUCAAAGCCACAAUGGUGUCAAAAUAACCACAACAACAGAUGCAAUUUUGCCACAAUUGAUCAAUUGAUACAUAUUUCUGUAUAGUCUACAUCGAAGUGCUGGAAAUUCACCCCACUGGGUUUGCUCGGGAUCUUCCUUGACGAGCUGGAUGGACUGCUCUCUUCCCUCCCAGAUGAUGGCUGCCAACUUCUAAUUCUUGAGGACCUGAACAUCCACCUGGACAGCCCUACUGGUGCUGACUUCUUUCUUCAUUCAGCAUCACACAGCUGCGCACACCACCCUCUCACAAGGCUGGCAAUCUGCUUGACCUUCUUCUGUCACACAACUGCACUCCCACUAAUGCAACUGUCACUCCACUACACACGUAUGACCACUUUUUCAUUCAAUUAUCCCUGUUGCUUCCUUCUUCUCAAUCUUCUCCUCUCCACACUGUAUCCUUCUACUGACAUCUCUUUCCCACCCCUUUCUCUUCCAUAGUCUCCUCUGCUAUCUGCACUCCUGACUGCUUCUACUGUCUUGACACCAACACUGCCACAAACACCGUAUACUCGACUAUGUCUUCCAGUCUUAACAAUGUUUGUCCUCUCUCAUCAAGGCCUACAUGUGAAAGACCCUCCUGUCCUUGGUUUUCUGAAGCACCCCACAAUCAAUGGGCCGAGCUCAGGACAGCUAAAAGGAAAUGGAGGAAGUCCAAAGCUCAGACAAAUUUGGCUAACUAUCAAUCCCUUCUUGCAUCCUUUUCUUUUGCCACCAUCAAUGCUAAGCACAGAGAAACUGCCCAGUGAGGGCACCUAACUGCGCCAUCUGUUCCUAUGAGAAUAAAGCCACCAGACUCCCAGAAGGAGGCAUCAUGCCAGUAGUUGGACUUCCUCUAAGUGACUGCCAGAGAAGAGCUCUGCUAUCUUAGUUGUUAUCUUACCACAACAACUGUCAUUUUUGCUUACUUUGCAUUUGUAUUAAACGGGACGAUG